rnacentral:rRNA from 1 species
AGAGCGAACGCUGGCGGCAGGCCUAACACAUGCAAGUCGAGCGCCCGUAGCAAUACGGGAGCGGCAGACGGGAUAGUAACACGUGGGAACGCGCCCUUCGGUUCGGAAUAACUCAGGGAAACUUGAGCUAAUACCGGAUACGCCCUUACGGGAAAAGAUUUAUUGCCGAAGGAACGGCCCGCGUCCGAUUAGCUAGUUGGUGAGGUAAUGGCUCACCAAGGCGACGAUCGGUAGCUGGUCUGAGAGGAUGACCAGCAUCACUGGGACUGAGACACGGCCCAGACUCCUACGGGAGGCAGCAGUGGGGAAUAUUGGACAAUGGGCGCAAGCCUGAUCCAGCCAUGCCGCGUGGAUGAUGAAGGCCUUAGGGUUGUAAAGUCCUUUUAACGGGGAAGAUAAUGACGGUACCCGUAGAAUAAGCCCCGGCUAACUUCGCGCCAGCAGCCGC